UUCACUGUCCAACACACCAACUACACUUCACUUAUUUCUCUCCUUUCUAUUUUGAUUCCCACGCUUCCCAUCUCAAGUCUCGAUCAAUUUUCCAAGGCCCCCCUUGCCAGUGUUAGGCUCAGGCCUCAACAAAACGGUCAUAACAGUAUGAUAAAGGAUCAAAAUCAGUCCCUAUUCAAAACUAUAUAGUUUGCAUUUGCACUCCAAUUUCAUCAUAAAUCUCACCUUUCAAAUGGGUCUACCCUGUUCAAAUUUGAAGUGGAUAAACAGCUGCAGCUAUUUUCUCCCUAAGAUUGAAUUUCUUUGCAAUAGCUGGCCUCACAUCUUCAACUCCGACCAAGCUCUCCAAAAAGGGAAGAAGUAGAAGCAGUUC
rnacentral:lncRNA from 1 species